GAUGAACGCUGGCGGCGUGCCUAAUACAUGCAAGUCGAGCGAACGGACGAGAAGCUUGCUUCUCUGAUGUUAGCGGCGGACGGGUGAGUAACACGUGGAUAACCUACCUAUAAGACUGGGAUAACUUCGGGAAACCGUAGCUAAUACCGGAUAAUAUUUUGAACCGCAUGGUUCAAAAGUGAAAGACGGUCUUGCUGUCACUUAUAGAUGGAUCCGCGCUGCAUUAGCUAGUUGGUAAGGUAACGGCUUACCAAGGCAACGAUGCAUAGCCGACCUGAGAGGGUGAUCGGACACACUGGAACUGAGACACGGUCCAGACUCCUACGGGAGGCAGCAGUAGGGAAUCUUCCGCAAUGGGCGAAAGCCUGACGGAGCAACGCCGCGUGAGUGAUGAAGGUCUUCGGAUCGUAAAACUCUGUUAUUAGGGAAGAACAUAUGUGUAAGUAACUGUGCACAUCUUGACGGUACCUAAUCAGAAAGCCACGGCUAACUACGUG
rnacentral:rRNA from 1 species